rnacentral:tRNA from 1 species
AGCUCCUAAGUUUUAAACAUAUGUUUUGAAAACAUAAAAAGGAUCCACUCCAGGGGUUU